rnacentral:rRNA from 1 species
GGUACCCUACGGGGCGCAGCAGUGAGGAAUAUUGGUCAAUGGGCGAGAGCCUGAACCAGCCAAGUCGCGUGAAGGAUGACGGCCCUACGGGUUGUAAACUUCUUUUGUCAGGGAGCAAUUGGGUCCACGUGUGGGCUUAGCGAGAGUACCUGACGAAAAAGCAUCGGCUAACUCCGUGCCAGCAGCCGCGGUAAUACGGAGGAUGCGAGCGUAAUCCGGAUUUAUGGGGUUUAAGGGG